CUCUUACGCCGUCCAAUUUACGUGGCAGUGCAUGUCAGGAAAGAAUGGCGUUGACAUUGCGAAAUUCGACUAUUUUUGAGCACCGAUUUCUGAGAGCGGAAGGCGUUAAACCCGCCACCAUUCAUUGCUGGACGGUGACCGUAUGCGGGGAGGACUGUGUGAGACACUCCGAAGCUUAGCCAGGUCCAUCAAGAACAACAGACCGGGUCUGCUCGCUGAGGGUGCAGUUCCGCUUCAUGAUAACGCGCAUCCACACGUCUCCAGGGUCACACACGCGGAACUGGCCAAGUUCCAGUGAGAGCCGCUUGACCAUCCGCCCUACGGUCUGGACAUGUCGCCCUGCGAUUUCCAUGUGUUUGGUCCACUGAAGAAACAUCUGAAAGGGAAGCGCUUCAGCUCGGACGACGAACUCAAGGACGCUGUGACAGACUGGUACUCGUCACAGCGAGAGGAAUUCUGGGAACGAGGAAUCCUUCGGCUCGUUCAUCAAUGACAUCGUCGUGCUCAGGCCUAUAUGGUGUAUACCUUGAAUAAAGUCUUCAUUUACACCCACAGUGUCGUUUCGUACCUUUUGAUUUGAACACCCCUUGUAGAAUUUGCUGAAAACCGUUCAUAAAUACCCCCCCCCCCCUCAAUCACCAGCAAAUGGUCCAUUUCUAUUGUUAGCUAGCUACACCUCAAAAUAAAAUGAAAACGUAGGCGAGUCCAUCUGCUGCGAAUAUCUUGGCCGUGGCUGCCUCAGUAAUUACAAAACAAACCCCCAUAUUACGUCUCUCCCUAAUAAACGUCACACACGAAGGUGCCACAGGAGAAGAGGCCGCAUCCUGUGGCUGCUGCGCGUGGUUUCAUUACCGAUUCAGGAGAUCGGCAACUUGUUUUCGUGCCAACACUGUUUUUUCGACUUCCGCGUGGGCACUACUCAGCUUUUCGUAGUAACCGUGCAGGCAGCUUUCGGGAUCGACGCCAACGGCGGCAAGGCCGGCCUGUAGCCUCUUCGCGUGGACUACCAUCGCUCCAGC
rnacentral:lncRNA from 1 species